rnacentral:tRNA from 1 species
CUAGAGAGAAAGGACUCGAACCUUCAUCUAAAAACUCAAAAUUUUUAGUAUUUCCAUCUAUACUACCCUCUA